CUGGCAUGAUGAUGAUAAUUACGAUUGAUUUUGUAUGAUUAUUCAUAUGAUUAAUACAAUCCUCCUACUCAUUCUGA
rnacentral:snoRNA from 12 species